GCAGAGCAACGUGGAAGCUGCUUUGGCCAUGAGUCAGAGUCCCUGGGUCGUCCUCUGAGGUCUGUCUGAGUCACCGUGCAGCCCUGCAUGCUCUCGGGGAGGCCACCUGCCCCACAGCGAAUGACCUCAUUCCCUCUUGGUUGUUCUGAUUCCUCAAGUUAAACUCUUGGCUCAUGGGCAUACACAUGAGGGCGAGUGUGUGUGUGUGUGUGGGUUUGGGAGGCAGCAAUGACUGAUGUUUGAUCUGAUAGGCGUGUCAGCUAGGACACAAUAGCUUCUGAUGAGCCUGAGGCCCUGAAGUCUAUCUAUAGAGAGCCAUCUGGUUUUACACGGAAAGAAACUACAAUCCUGAAUGCUACAGAAGAAAACAGGGAGAGGGGCCGGCACUGUGGUGUAGAGGGUAAAGCCACUGCCUGUGGUGUGGGCAUCCCCUAUGGGCACUGGUUCUAGUCUUGGUUGCUCCACUUCCAAUCCAGCUCUCUGCUAUGGCCUCGGAAAGCAGUAGAAGAUGGCCCAAGUCCUUGCGUCCCUGCACCUGCAUGAGAGACCCAGAGGAAGCUCCUGGCUCCUGGUUUCAGAUUGGCACAGCUCUAGUCAUUGUGGCCAAUGGGGAAGUGAAACAAUGGAUGGAAGAUAUCUCUCUCUCUCUCUCUCUCUGACUCUCCUUCUGUCUUGAAAUAAAAUAAAUAAAUCUUAAAAAGAAGACAGGGAGAAAGGAACUGGCCAGCAUAUGUGGCUCAACAUAAAUCCAGCACCACUACUGGGAAAAGAAUUCAAAGAGCAUCUUCAGCAAAUGAAAAAAGACAGUGUCUUAGGCCCUUGGAGGCAGAUUCUGGGCAAAGACUACAGCCAGAGUUGAGAGCUUCAAUGAGAACCAUUACCGUGCUCUCUGCCAGCCAACAGCACUAAAGCAACACACGAGGUAUCCCAGCCCCGUUCAGUUCCCCACCGCUGCAACCAGACCUGUGCGGCAGGGCCACCUCUGCUGGAAGUCCACACCAUCCUACAGCUCAGGAAGUGGUUCGUUCUGGCGGAAGAGGGGUCAAGGGCCCUGGAGAACGCAGCCAUCUGUUGACACAGCUAAAGCAAGCGCCACCUUGGGAGGAGAAGCCAUAGCGACAGCAGGCUUCCUUCUCCAACUGUGAUCUCUCUGUGUCCAACCCAAACACGGAGCGUCUUCUACCUUCUGAUGGUUCCAGAUGACACCAGGAGGCCCAGGUGGGUGUGAGCAGCCCUGACCGAGACAUUCCCUGGGUAAGGAGUUGAGAAUUUGAACAUGACCAAGACUUGCUCCCUGACACUCAGUGGCCCCAGUUUGGCCGUUCAGUCAGAGCUGGACACCUUGACACCUUGGAGAGAUGUGGAGAGAGGGCCAGGAAGUCGGACAUGAAUGGCCUAACCUAUGGCAAACCGGAAGCGACCUUUGCAGACUGAGACUCAAAGAAAGAGUGAGUAGAAAACAGACGGGAAAGGAAAAGUCAUUUCAGGCUUUAGCGGACGUGAGUUUCACCACCUUGUGUUUUUUCUCUCUGAGAAACGCCCUCCCCUCCUUCACCGCGAUCCAACUCAUUCUCAUGCUCCCCGUGCUGAGUAGAGAGGGAUCUUCAAAAAGGUCAUGAAAAUCUGUAGUACGAAAAAAACUAUGGGCGGAUAUCAAACACAUUUUUUGCAGCAAAAUGAAGUUAUGUCUCAAUUCCAUUUUCCCUGCGCUUGUAAGAUCUGUCGUGACUCAGAGUAUGCAACCCCCUGAGGUACUCGGUGCUAGGAACUACAUCAGUCAACAUUUUUUCUCUGUCAGUAAAAAGGCUUGUGAGCA